CUAAAAGAUUUAAUAGGGGGACAGUUGGGGGGCCAUCCAGUUUUCCAACUUUUAAGAGAGGUGAAAUCCUUGGACUCAGGUUGAAAGCCCUAACUUCUGGGAAAAACAUUUUGCCAAGGAAGUUUUUCCUUUUAAUCAAGGAACGAAAAAUUUAGGGGGUCGGAAGCCGAUCAAGAUUCCGUUCGGUAGUUUUAAACCAUAAACUAUGGCCGACUUAGGGAUCGGGACGGUGUUAUUCCAUGGCCCGGUUCGGCCCCCUUACGGAGAAAACAAAAGUGCUUGGGGGCUCCCAGGGGGGAGUAUGGUCGCAAAGGCUGAAACUUAAAAGAAAAUUGGCGGGAAAGGGGCACCCCCAGGGGGUGGGAACCUGCGGCCUUAAAUUUGCCUCAAACCCCGGGGAAAACUCCCCCAGGUCCAGACACAAUAAAGGAUUGACAGAUUGAGAGCUCUUUCUUGAUUUUUGUGGGUGGUGGUGCAUGGCCCGUUCUUAGUUUGGUGGGGGUGACUUGUCUGCUUAAUUGCGAUAACGAAACGAGACCUUAACCUGCUAAAUAGCCCCGCAUUGCUCCGGGCAGUGCGCUGGCUUCUUAGAGGGGACUUUUCGGCUCAAGCCCGAAGGAAGUUUGAGGCAAUAACAGGUCUGUGAUGCCCCUUAGAUGUUCUGGGCCCGCACGCGCGCUACACUGACGGGGUCAGCGAGUUCCUUGGCCGAAAGGCCCGGGUAAUCAUGUUAGCCCCCGUCGUGCUGGGGAUAGAGCAUUGCAAUUAUUGCUCUUCAACGAGGAAUCCCUAGUACGCCCUUUCAUCAGCUUGCGUUGAUUACGUCCCUGCCCUUUCUCUCUCUCCACCCGUC
rnacentral:rRNA from 1 species